rnacentral:rRNA from 1 species
UGUUUACACAUCGGGGUUGUAGGACUGCGUUGUGGGACGCAAGAUUAUAGAAGAAUUACCUGGGAAGGUAAGCCAAAGAGAGUAAUAGCCUCGUAAUCGAAAUAAUCUUAAACCCUAGCAGUAUCCUGAGUACGGCGAGACACGAGAAAUCUCGUCGGAAUCCGGGAGGACCAUCUCCCAACCCUAAAUACUCUCUAGUGACCGAUAGUGAACCAGUACCGUGAGGGAAAGGUGAAAAGCACCCCGGGAGGGGAGUGAAAUAGAACCUGAAACCGUGUGCCUACAACAAGUUCGAGCCCGUUAAUGGGUGAGAGCGUGCCUUUUGUAGAAUGAACCGGCGAGUUACGAUAUGAUGCGAGGUUAAGUUGAAGAGACGGAGCCGCAGGGAAACCGAGUCUUAAUAGGGCGACUUAGUAUCAUGUUGUAGACCCGAAACCAUGUGACCUACCCAUGAGCAGGUUGAAGGUGCGGUAAGACGCACUGGAGGACCGAACCAGGGCACGUUGAAAAGUGCUUGGAUGACUUGUGGGUAGCGGAGAAAUUCCAAACGAACUUGGAGAUAGCUGGUUCUCUCCGAAAUAGCUUUAGGGCUAGCGUCGAUGUUAAGUCUCUUGGAGGUAGAGCACUGUUUGGGUGAGGGGUCCAUCUCGGAUUACCAAUCUCAGAUAAACUCCGAAUGCCAACGAGAUAUAAUCGGCAGUCAGACUGCGAGUGCUAAGAUCCGUAGUCGAAAGGGAAACAGCCCAGACCACCAGCUAAGGUCCCAAAAUAUAUGUUAAGUGGAAAAGGAUGUGGGGUUGCACAGACAACUAGGAUGUUAGCUUAGAAGCAGCUAUUCAUUCAAAGAGUGCGUAAUAGCUCACUAGUCGAGUGACCCUGCGCCGAAAAUGUACCGGGGCUAAAACAUAUUACCGAAGCUGUGGAUGACACGUUAGUGUCAUGGUAGGAGAGCGUUCUAUGUGUGAAGAAGGUGUACCGUGAGGAGCGCUGGAACGCAUAGAAGUGAGAAUGCCGGUAUGAGUAGCGAAAGACAGGUGAGAAUCCUGUCCACCGUAAGACUAAGGUUUCCAGGGGAAGGCUCGUCCGCCCUGGGUUAGUCGGGACCUAAGGAGAGACCGAAAGGUGUAUCCGAUGGCCAACAGGUUGAUAUUCCUGUACUAGAGUAUAUAGUGAAGGAGGGACGCAGUAGGCUAACUAAAGCGUGCGAUUGGAAGAGCACGUCUAAGCAGUGAGGUGUGAUAUGAGUCAAAUGCUUGUAUCUCUAACAUUGAGCUGUGAUGGGGAGCGAAGUUAAGUAGCGAAGUUAGUGACGUCACACUGCCAAGAAAAGCUUCUAGCGUUUAAUUAUACUCUACCCGUACCGCAAACCGACACAGGUAGUCGAGGCGAGUAGCCUCAGGUGAGCGAGAGAACUCUCGUUAAGGAACUCGGCAAAAUGGCCCCGUAACUUCGGGAGAAGGGGCGCUGGCUUUAAGUCAGCCGCAGUGAAUAGGCCCAAGCAACUGUUUAUCAAAAACACAGCUCUCUGCUAAAUCGUAAGAUGAUGUAUAGGGGGUGACGCCUGCCCGGUGCUGGAAGGUUAAGAGGAGGGUUUAGCGUAAGCGAAGAUCUGAAUUGAAGCCCCAGUAAACGGCGGCCGUAACUAUAACGGUCCUAAGGUAGCGAAAUUCCUUGUCGGGUAAGUUCCGACCCGCACGAAAGGCGUAAUGAUUUGGGCACUGUCUCAACGAGAGACUCGGUGAAAUUUUAGUACCUGUGAAGAUGCAGGUUACCCGCGACAGGACGGAAAGACCCCAUGGAGCUUUACUGCAGUUUGAUAUUGAGUAUCUGUACCACAUGUACAGGAUAGGUAGGAGCCUAUGAAAUCGGGACGCUAGUUUCGGUGGAGGCGUUGUUGGGAUACUACCCUUGUGUUAUGGCUACUCUAACCUAGAUAGGUGAUCCCUAUCGGAGACAGUGUCUGACGGGCAGUUUGACUGGGGCGGUCGCCUCCUAAAAGGUAACGGAGGCGCCCAAAGGUUCCCUCAGAUUGGUUGGAAAUCAAUCGCAGAGUGUAAAGGUAUAAGGGAGCUUGACUGCGAGAGCUACAACUCGAGCAGGGACGAAAGUCGGGCUUAGUGAUCCGGUGGUUCCGCAUGGAAGGGCCAUCGCUCAACGGAUAAAAGCUACCCUGGGGAUAACAGGCUUAUCU